GGAAGGAUCAUUAACUCGAUUCUAAAACACAUCUUACCUCUUGAGGAGGUGAAUCAGGCAGGCUUAAAAACCCUGUCGAUCACUAAAAUUACAGGGAGUCUAGAGAGUCCUGGCCAGGCUUCUUUAGGCUCUUCUUCCUUACCCUAUUAAAUGUAAUUCAUUUAACAAACCAAGUCAUACAACGUUAUAAGGUGGAUGACUCGGCUCACGUAUCGAUGAAGGACGCAGCUAACCGCGAAAGCUGGUGUAAGUCGCAUAAGUCCAACAGAUCAUCGAACCCUCCGAAUGCAGACUGCGCCUUAGGGAUUUAUCUCUGAGGCCUAUCUCUUUGAGCGGGGAUAACUGCCCUCAAAAAGCACUUAUCUUCUCGCAGCCUCGGAGUAACCUUCUUACAGAUAACUCCAGGUUUGGGAGCUUGUCAUAUGCACUCUCCCGAAUUGCGCUUGAAAGGCUCAGCUUUUUCGGCAAAAACUCGUCGAUUGAAUUCAUUUUCUCGGUGAAACUUUGCUACUUGCGAGCCUAGCUCUUACGCAAUUUAACUCCCCAUCAAAUGAGGUAGGAUAAUCCCGUGAACUUAAGCAUAUCAUUAGCGGGAAGAAAAGAAAUCAACUGAGAUGCCAUUAGUAGCGGCGAGCGAAAGUGGCAUAGCCCAUCCCGAAUCUCUGGAGACUAGUCUCUUCAGCGACAUGUGGGGUAUCAGUCCAUCUAAACUCGGUGUCCUAGCCGACGAAUUCAGCUGGAAAGCUGGACCAUAGAAGGUGACAGUCCUGUAAUCGGCUAGGAUGUCGGGGUCAAUUGGUGGUACUGUGGAGUAGGGCUGUUUGAGAGUACAGUCCGAAGCGGGUGGUAUGUUCCAUCCAAGGCUAAAUAAGGGCGUGAGACCGAUAGCAAACAAGUACCGCGAGGGAAAGUUGAAAAGGACUUUGGAAAGAGAGUCAAAAGAACCUGAAACCUUAUACCGGAAAGGCCUUCUUGUACAACUGCGUGCCUUGAGCGUCGUGACUCGGCGCGGCACUGGUCGGAUUGCAUGACUGCACUAGGGUAAAUCCAGUAGGUUAUGCAAGUGUCUGGCCAGCUAGCCGCGUUUAUUUCACGGCGUGGCUGACCGCGGUCGGCUGCACAUAGGCUAACAGGGCUGGGGAUCGGUAGUUGUCUUGUACAGCGACGUCCCUGGAUCACCGACUUGCCUGAUUCUGCGGCCGAGGAAAAAAACGUAGGGGAGUGGUCUUCUUGGGCUGCGUAUCACUUGGGACUGCCGUGCUGUCACCUGCUUGCAGGUGGCGGUGCGUGUAAGCCAAUGUGGUGUGUUGUUCCGAAACUCUCCACGACUCGCGGGAUGUUGGAAAGAAGGCUCCCGUCUUGAAACACGGACCAAGGAGUGCAUUUCUAGUGCAAGGCGAAGGGAAGGGAUUCCUUAGCCGUAGCGAAAGCAAAUUGAUAGAUACUGAGGUCUCUGGACCGAAGUUGCAUAUCGGCCCUGUGGACGUUCUUUUAAGAUGUCCAUUGCGGUUGAGUAUUAGAAAUGCGACCCGAAAGAUGGCGAACUAUGCUUGUGUAAGGCGAAGUCAGAAGAAAUUCUGAUGGAGGCUUGAAGCGUUGUUGACGUGCAAAUCACUCGUCGAACAUGAGUAUAGCGGCGAAAGACUAAUCGAGCCGUCUAGUAGCUGGUUUCCUC
rnacentral:misc_RNA from 1 species